rnacentral:sRNA from 22 species
GUCUAGCCCUGAUGGAAGCGGCAUCCUUUUGUGGCGGUGUUCGCCGCAAAAGAUAUAGCAGACAGCAGGUUUCAGC